rfam:Anaerolineaceae bacterium oral taxon 439 strain W11661, complete genome.
GGGCGUAUAGCUCAAUGGUAGAGCAGUGGCCUUUUAAGCCAUUUGUUUUGGGUUCGAGUCCCAAUACGCUCA